AUGCGAUAAGUAAUGUGAAUUGCAGAAUUCAGUGAAUCAUCGAAUCUUUGAACGCACAUUGCGCCCGCUAGUAUUCUGGCGGGCAUGCCUGUUCGAGCGUCAUUUUAACCAUCAAGCUAUUGGGCCCAGGCUUGUGUUGGGGACCUGCGGCUGCCGCAGCCCCCUAAAAACAGUGGCGGUCUCGCUGUCAUACCGAGCGCAGUAGUGAAUUCUUCGUUCUGGUCGUGGCAGUGGGUGCUAGCCGUGAAACAUCCUUCUAAGGUUGACCUCGGAUCAGGUAGGAAUACCCGCUGAACUUAA
rnacentral:misc_RNA from 1 species